AUUGAACGCUGGCGGCAUGCUUUACACAUGCAAGUCGAACGGAUCUAGGGGCUUGCUCCUAGGUUAGUGGCGAACGGGUGAGUAAUGCAUCGGAACGUACCGUGUAGUGGGGGAUAACCCGGCCGAAAGUACGGAUUAAUACCGCAUACGAUCUACGGAUGAAAGCGGGGGACCGUUCGGCCGUCGCGCUAUACGAGCGGCCGAUGUCGGAUUAGCUAGUUGGUGAGGUAAAGGCUCACCAAGGCUACGAUCCCUAGCUGGUCUGAGAGGAUGAUCAGCCACACUGGAACUGAGACACGGUCCAGACUCCUACGGGAGGCAGCAGUGGGGAAUAUUGGACAAUGGGCGGAAAGCCUGAUCCAGCCAUGCCGCGUGUGUGAAGAAGGCC
rnacentral:rRNA from 1 species